GCAUUCGUGCGAUUAUUAAUCGCUGUAAAACAAAUAUCGUGGCACUUGCGGUCCGCACAUGCGUGGAUGGUUUAUCCGAGAAAGGUUUUCAACUUUAAUUUAAAUAUGUUGAAGAGCCUGAGCAGUUUAAAAAUUUGUUUGAGAUCAUUUAACUUCAAAAAUAAAUUAGGAGAAGAUACGCACCGGGAAAAUCACUUUCAACUUUCCACAAUUUUACUUAAUAAAAGUCACAAGGCCUCAGCUGACAGACGAUGUUAACUCGAAGACUGCUGAACGAUAUCUAAAACCUAGCCGAGGGAAAAGCCUUGGCCAGAGCGCAAACGAAAAAAAAAAGUUUUAUGGUUACCCAGGUCAGAUUUUCGCUUGCGCACCACCCAAGGGUAUCUCGAGUGCCUCGAUCGUUCAAAGGACGAUAUUCCUACAGUCUAGUUAACUUUCUAAAUGAAUUCGACCUUGGUAACGUGAUUUUACUCUGCUAAUACU